rnacentral:rRNA from 1 species
UACGUAGGGGCCUAGCGUUGUCCGGAUUUAUUGGGCGUAAAGAGCUCGUAGGCGGUUUGGUGAGUCGGGUGUGAAAUCUCCACGCUCAACGUGGAGGGGCCACCCGAUACUGCCAUGACUAGAGUCCGGUAGGGGAGUGUGGAAUUCCCGGUGUAGCGGUGAAAUGCGCAGAUAUCGGGAGGAACACCAGUAGCGAAGGCGACACCCUGGGCCGGUACUGACGCUGAGGAGCGAAAGCGUGGGGAGCAAACAGG